UACGGGGGGGGCAAGCGUUGUUCGGAAUUACUGGGCGGAAAGGGCUCGUAGGCGGCCAACUAAGUCAGACGUGAAAUCCCCAGGCUUAACCUGGGAACUGCGUCUGAUACUGGAUGGCUUGAAUUCGGGAGAGGGAUGCAGAAUUCCAGGUGUAGCGGUGAAAUGCGUAGAUAUCUGGAGGAACACCGGUGGCGAAGGCGGCUACCUGGCCCAACAUUGACGCUGAGACCCGAAAGCAUGGGGAUCAAACAGG
rnacentral:rRNA from 1 species